rnacentral:lncRNA from 1 species
UAAUAGUGACAUCUUCAGCACGUUCAGAAUGCAGAGUUAAAUUACCAGCAAUUGUUUUCUACAUAUGUUCAGUAAUAUUAAUACUGAUACUUACUCUGAAGUUUUGGUUGCCUUUUCCUUUUUGACUUAUAUCCAGACUUAGUCGUGGUGAACUUGUCCCGGUGAUUUAAAGUGUGACUAGCUUAGUCUGGAUCUGAGCUCUUAUCUCUUGCAGUUCAGUUCAUUUCCUGAGAUGGAUGCUGUUUACUUUCCCCCAAAUUCAUUUAUUCUGCUUGGAAAAGAAAGUUUGGAAAAGACAAGAAAUAGUUCAAUCCUGUACCUGUCUACCCAGAAAAGAUGAGCUGCACUGAAAUGGAAACAAUACUGCAUGUGACAACUACAGGGCGGAAAGGAAAACAUUGCCUUCUUAUAGCCAUAUUCACAAGGAAGAGAAGACAUGACUUCUUCCUGAUAUUUGUGCAGAGUCAGGAAGCCCAGCCCAUCACAG